ACUUCCUGAUAGUGACAGUAGUGAUGGUGGUGAUGGUGGUGGUGGUGUUGACAGCAGAGUGGGUGAAGUGCAAGUGGCCAGGCUUCACUGGGGCCAGGGUGCGCUGAGGGACCAGGGAACGUCCAAGGAACCUCCAAACGCAGUAUUGUCAUAUGGUUGAUCUGGGGGUGGGGGGGUGAGUGAGACCAGAUUCGAGGAGUGGGUUAAGGAAUCUUGUAGUGUGUCGCGAUCAGCCAGCUUGGGGUCAAGAGACAGCCUCCCUGAGCCUCCGUUUCCUCAUUGCUUUGGGAAGGAGGUGCUCGGCAAGAGGACAUCCCAGAUCCACCUGGCUCUUUCCAGUUCGUGUUCUGUAUUCUGUGGUUCAAUAAAUAUUAUAUGAUUGAUCCAGGAAAAUUGAUGUAAAAGAACUGAUGGCCAUAGGUCAAAGGUGCCCUGGCCAAAGGAAGAGUCAGAAGAUCUGGGAUUACAGAGGGUAAUCUUUUGGGGGGUUUUCUGGACAGAAGUGUGGUCAAGGGUAGCAGAAAGACCAGUGGAUCCCCGCCACCUGGGUCAGAGGGAAGGGGCUUAUGUAUAUAGUGGUCAGGAUGCGAGUGGGUUCAUCCAAGCCAGAACGUACCUGGUUUUAUCUCAAGCCAACGUCGAAGACAUCAGGUACAUUCCCAGCACUGAUGGAAUCUGGUAGUAAAUCCUACAAACCGCUCUAAUGGUUUAUCUACAGUGUGCCAGGAAACUGUGCAGGGGAGACAGCCACGUUUACUCCAGGGAAAUCGUAGCAAUUAUAACUCAAGUUGGCCAUCAAGUCGGCCUGGGCCCACACCCUGAUGUGCUGAACCUUUGUGGGUGGACUUGUUGGCUCACCUGGGCUCUGUGUGCCUGACUUCCUGUUGCAGGCCCCAAAUGGCGAUAGUCAAGACUCCCUUGCUGUGGCUUCCAGGGAGUUAUUUUUAGUCUGCAACCAUGCUUUCGAGCAUGCGCUCUCUUAUGUGACCUGUUGCCCGUGUGCCUUCUCUGUUUGCCCUGCACAUAAAAAAGGCCUAUGGAAGCCGGGCGCAGUGGCCCACGCCUGUAAUCCCAGCGGCUGGGGAGGCUGAGGCAGGAGGAUCUCGAGUUCAAAGCCAGCCUCAGCAAUGGUGAGGCGCUAAGCGACUCAGGGAGAUGUUGUCUCUAAAUAAAGUACACAAUAGGGCUGGGAGUGUGGCUCAGUGGUGGAGUGCCCUGAGUUCAAUCCCUGGUGCUCCCCCCCAAAAAAAGACCUACGGAAGGACUCAUGGACUAAAUGCUGGAGCUGGAACUGGCAGUGAGGGCUGCUGUCGUCUCUGAAUAAAGAAUAUCUGCUAUCCCAACUGCACUCACGUCUUUCUUCACUACCGGGAUCCCGGAUCUGUUUCCCAGGGUCUGAGCCUCCAUCCAGAGGCUUCCCUUCCCCAUGAGCCUUCUCCCAGGGCCUCAGGGAACAGGUCCUCUAUGGCCUCACUCACUGGCUCCUACUAUCCUGCAGGCCCUGCUGGGUCACCUGGGGGAAGGAAGCUCAGGCGUGUCUGACUCAGGCUGAGCGUAGGUGCUCCCUCCAUCCUGCCUCUGGGCCCUGGAUUGACAUGCAGCACACGAGGUCGAUCAGUUCAGAGGGGGCUGCGUGCGGUGUGCAAGAGGGUCAGAGGUCGAGGGACAGAGAUAACUAGACAGCAGAUGUCCUCAUCCGAGAUGUCCUAAUGAUUCACCCAGACCCCUGCAACAGCUUCCAGAAUGGUGUUUCUUAUGGCAGUGCCCCAGGCCCUGCCCAUCCUCCACACUUGAGUCUAUGGAUUUGAUUAAAAGCACCUGCGUCCAAGUCUUCCGUGGCUUCUCAUCACUCAGCACAAAAGACCCCAAACUUCGGGCUGCUUAGAGUAAGUAGCCUGUUGUGGCCUGGGGUCCCCCCAAGCAGAGCCGGAGCCAAGGCUCACGCACAGGGGGUUAUUUAGGAACUGGUCCUGGGAGCAGGACGAGAGACCAGGAGGAGCCGUGCACAGAAGGAGGGAAGAGAAGACAGCCAUCUGCUCACCCACCAGGUGACUAAACCUGCCAGGACCUUGUGAGGAGCCUGAAAGGACUGUCCUCGACAUCCUCCUCCC
rnacentral:lncRNA from 1 species